GAAGCGGGGGAGCUUAUAAAUAGGCUGAGAGGAAGUUUAAAACUUCGACCCAUAAACCUGAUUUGGAUAAUGCCAACGUAGGAACCC
rnacentral:ncRNA from 1 species